AGAGAUGAGCAGUGAAAAAAGGAGUAGUCUUGUGACUCACGAGCAGUUUUAUCUUUCCCUCUGAACAGAAAAUGGAAAUGGAACAGUGAAUUCUUCUGGGAUUUGUAGUACUUCUUCUCUUCUGAGAAGGGUAUACCCAGAACUAUCAACAAUCCACAGAACUGGAGCAUAUACUCUUUAACUCCCAGUGUACUACAUGAUGUUAUGAUAUGGAAUAUUGAUGACAAAAAAUCAUAAAACCAUGAUAAUGGGAUGAAAAAGUACUUGGGAAUGUUUGGACAACUUCUGCUGCAGAACCAGAAAAACAAGAGUAAGGUUUUGUGUAAAUGAUGCUGCUGAGCUGCAAAAACAGUGCAUUAUUGUCCUUGGAGUUGCCUCAUUUUCUUACACUUCAGAUUUGUAAGGGAUUCCGCUUCAAAUUAAGGCAUCUAAGUUUAGUUCCCCACAUGAAGUGAAAGCAAUGGCAUAAACACAAGCUUCUUGUACCAUCUGAGAAGCACUUGAUUAUAUUGCAAGUCAAAGCAGAGCCAUCAGGUAUGGUGCACAACUUAAAGGAGACCUGCAUGCCUCUGUAGCAGGAGCAGAAGAGCAUGUGCAAUACCACCCCAGCACAAAGGAAAAUUACACAAGAUGUCCUGCAUUAGGCACCUGAAUUCCACUUCUUAUGUGUUACCUGAGAAAUCUGUCUUGGUCUGUGGGCAUGACAGAAUAUACGUCAUAAGCAGUCAUAAGUUCAUCUGUACAUUACUGCAUCUCCGAUGGUACUGGAUAUCUGUGAAUAAAUAAUUUAAUCAAGAAGAAAAAUUGUUGAACUGUGACUGGCCAAGAAAGCUAGUAAAACAAUCAAACUAUAUUGCUCACAAUUCUGUGCCUAUGAUUUCUGUUUUCCCCUUUUUCUAUAUGAAAUUUAAUUUUUGGCUUAGCACAUACCUCGUACUGCUAUAAAACUUUUCUUUUUUUAAUCAAGUACCUUUGAUUAAGUAAACAUCAUCUAUUUUUGUUUGGUAUCAAAGAAGCAAGACAAUAACUUCUAAAACUGGGUAAUGUACUAAUAUGUGACAAACUUAUAGCCAUCAGAAUAGCUGUGAGAUAUUUUGCUUUCUUUUUACCAUACAGUCUGAAUAUAAUGUAUCUAUAGAAAAGAAAAUGAUAAGCUUAGAACAGCAAGAAAGAAGCUGAUCUUGCAUUAAUGAGAC
rnacentral:lncRNA from 1 species